GAUGAACGCUGGCGGCGUGCUUAACACAUGCAAGUCGAACGAGAAGUGGAGACGCAAACCUUCGGGCGGAAGGCUGCAUUUGGAGUGGCGGACGGUGGAGUAACGCGUGGGUAGCCUGCCUCAUACAGGGGGAUCACAGUUGGAAACGACUGUAUAUACCGCAUCAGACCACAGCAUCGCAUGGUGCGGGGGUAAAGCCUCCGGUGGUAUGAUCUGGACCCGCGUUCCAUUAGCCAGAUGGCGGGGUAACGGCCCCCCACAGCGACGAUCGGAAGCCGAUCAGUGAGGCUGGCCGGACACAUUUGGACUGGGACGCAGCCCAGACUCCUACGGGAUGCGGCAGGGGGUAAUAUUGCACCACGGGGGGAACCCUGAUGCAGCGACGCCGCGUGAGUGAAGAAGUAUUUCGGUAUGUAAAGCUUUAUCAGCAGGGAAGAAAAUGACGGUACCUGAGUAAGAAGCCCCGGCUAACUACGUG
rnacentral:rRNA from 1 species